rnacentral:rRNA from 1 species
UACGUAGGGGGCUAGCGUUGUCCGGAUUUAUUGGGCGUAAAGAGCGUGUAGGCGGCCAGGUAGGUCCGGUGUGAAAACUCGAGGCUUAACCUCGAGAUGUCAUCGGAAACCAUCAGACUAGAGUCCGGAAGAGGAGAGUGGAAUUCCUGGUGUAGCGGUGAAAUGCGCAGAUAUCAGGAAGAACACCCGUGGCUAAGGCGGCUCUCUAGUACGGUACUGACGCUGAGACGCGAAAGCGUGGGGAGCGAACAGG